CCUACGGGAGGCAGCAGUGGGGAAUAUUGGACAAUGGGGGGAACCCUGAUCCAGCGACGCCGCGUGAGUGAAUAAGUAUUUCGGUAUGUAAAGCUCUAUCAGCAGGGAAGAAAGAAAUGACGGUACCUGACUAAGAAGCCGCGGCUAACUACGUGCCAGCAGCCGCGGUAAUACGGAGGGGGCAAGCGUUAUCCGUAUUUACUGGGUGUAAAGGGAGCGUAGACGGCGAUGCAAGUCUGAAGUGAAAGGCGGGGGCCCAACCUCCGGACUGCUUUGGAAACUGUAUGGAUAGAGUGUAGGAGAGGUAAGUGGAAUGCCUAGGGGAGCAGUGAAAUGCGUAGAUAUUAGGAGGAACACCAGUGGCGAAGGCGGCUUACUGGACUGUAACUGACGUUGAGGCUCGAAAGCGUGGGGAGCAAACAGGAUUAGAUACCCUUGUAGUC
rnacentral:rRNA from 1 species